rnacentral:rRNA from 1 species
GACGAACGCUGGCGGCGUGCUUAACACAUGCAAGUCGAGCGGUAAGGCCCUUUCGGGGGUACGACGAGCGGCGAACGGGUGAGUAACACGUGGGUGACCUGCCCUCAGCUCUGGGAUAAGCCUGGGAAACCGGGUCUAAUACCGGAUAUGACUCCAUGACGCAUGUUGUGGGGUGGAAAGCCUUGUGCGGCUGAGGAUGGGCCCGCGGCCUAUCAGCUUGUUGGUGGGGUGAGGCCUACCAAGGCGACGACGGGUAGCCGGCCUGAGAGGGCGACCGGCCACACUGGGACUGAGACACGGCCCAGACUCCUACGGGAGGCAGCAGUGGGGAAUCUUGCGCAAUGGGCAAAGCCUGACGCAGCGACGCCGCGUGAGGGAUGACGGCCUCGG